rnacentral:rRNA from 1 species
CCUACGGGUGGCAGCAGUGGGGAAUAUUGCACAAUGGGGGAAACCCUGAUGCAGCAACGCCGCGUGAAGGAAGACGGUUUUCGGAUUGUAAACCUCUGUUCUUGGGGAAGAAUAAUGACGGUAGCUAAGGAGCAAGCAACGGCUAACUAGGUGCAAGAAGCCGCGGUAAUACGUAGGUGGCAAGCGUUGUCCGGAAUUACUGGGUGUAAAGGGAGCGAAGGCGGGAAGCCAAGUCAGCUGUGAAAGCUACGGGCUUAACUUGUAGACUGCGUUUGAAACUGGUUUUCUUGAGUGAAGUAGGGGUUGGCGGAAUUCCGAGUGUAGCGGUGAAAUGCGUAGAUAUUCGGAGGAACACCGGUGGCGAAGGCGGCCUACUGGGCUUUAACUGACGCUGAGGCUCGAAAGUGUGGGGAGCAAACAGGAUUAGAUACCCGUGUAGUC